rnacentral:lncRNA from 1 species
UUUGGCGGAACCGAGAAGGGGAGAGAGUUCCGAGGGAGAUAAGAGACGGAGGCGGCUGUCGUUGCAGUCGCCGAAAAAGGGAGCCGAAGGAAGAAGGGAGGUGGAGCCUGUCGCCGCUUGCUCCGACGAGCUCCGCCGGCGGCAGAUUUCGAUAGUGGGGAGAAGGAUCUGGGCAGAACUUGAGAGAGAGAGAGAGAGAGAGAG